GAGUCGGCAAGGCGGGGCUAGAGUGGGCGGGGCCAGGGGACUCGCGGGGGAUGGGAUUCAGUGGCCAGGGGACUCAAAUUGCCAGAGAAGCCAGCACCUUCCAGCGGCCUCAAGAGAAAGUCCUCUGUUGCAUGAAUACAGGCCCUAAAAUUCUAACCACCAGUUACUUUGGAUCAUAAACAACCAGCUGAACGGGAGUAAAUGUGGCCUUGAAGGAAGUGCAAAAUGAAAUAAACCAAUUUUAAGU